rnacentral:piRNA from 1 species
UACCUAUAUGUUUUUCNCUGCCUACCAUCA